UUAUUAGUAAAUUUGUAGGUUCCGGUGCAAAAAUUAAAUUUCACUUUUUUCAUACUUUCUAUAAUCUAACGAGGGAGUCCGCCAUCAUAAUUUUUUCCGGCUAAUGCAAUAAAAUCGAGCGGAAUUUGUCCAGAAAAAAAGACUGCAACACACCGGUGGUUCGUUCCGCACUUAACGUGUUACUCACUUUACGGAUGUCUAGCACUAUAGUGCGAGGUUACGAAUGUCUAGCACUGUAGUGCAAGGUUAUGAAUGUCUAGCACUAUAGUGCGAGGUUAUGAAUGUCUAGCACUAUAGUGCGAGGUGAAUGUCUAGCACUAUAGUGCGAGGUGAAUGUCUAGCACUGUAGUGCGAGGUUAUGAAUGUCUAGCACUGUAGUGCGAGGUUAUGAAUGUCUAGCACUGUAGUGCGAGGUUAUGAAUGUCUAGCACUGUAGUGCGAGGUUAUGAAUGUCUAGCACUGUAGUGCGAGGUUAUGAAUGUCUAGCACUGUAGUGCGAGGUUAUGAAUGUCUAGCACUACAGUGCAAGGUUAUGAAUGUCUAGCACUGUAGUGCGAGGUUAUGAAUGUCUAGGCACUAUAGUGCGAGGUUACGUAUUUAUAUCAUUUGUUGCUUCAUUCACUGCCAGUCAAGAGAUAUAAUGGAUAAAUAAUAAGACCAGCGAAGAUGUUCUGCCUAAAUUGUCUUUUCCCGGAAAUUGGCUCCAGUAAUGCCGUUAGUAUUAUUAUUUACAAUUAUAGUUUUAAUAAAUGAUAAUUAUUUUAUGUAACAAUAGAAUGUCACAACGUCUGGUGCAAGAGAACGUUACACAUUGAAAAAAAUCAGGAAAUAAUGUAAAAGUGAAAAGACCAUGUGGCAGAGUCAUAGGCUUACGGUGUAUUUGUUAUCACAAAAUCUCGUGUGUUCUUACUAAUGUGUUGAGUGACCAGGUCCCGUGCGUGUUGUUCCUUUCAAUAAAAACUAACAGGUUGUGAA